UACCGAGCUCCUUCAGAAUGGACAGGUU
rnacentral:piRNA from 1 species